rnacentral:rRNA from 1 species
AGUCAACAUGCCCAGGGGACGUGGAUAACCUCGGGAAACUGAGGAUAAACCGCGAUAGGUCAUCACUUCUGGAGUGGGUAAUGACUUAAACCUAUAUGGCCCCUGGAUUGGACUGCGGCCGAUCAGGCUGUUGGUGAGGUAAUGGCCCACCAAACCUGUAACCGGUACGGGCUCUGAGAGGAGGAGCCCGGAGAUGGGCACUGAGACAAGGGCCCAGGCCCUAUGGGGCGCAGCAGGCGCGAAACCUCUGCAAUAGGCGAAAGCUUGACAGGGUUACUCUGAGUGAUUUCCGUUAAGGAGAUCUUUUGGCACCUCUAAAAAUGGUGCAGAAUAAGGGGUGGGCAAGUCUGGUGUCAGCCGCCGCGGUAAUACCAGCACCCCGAGUGGUCGGGACGUUUAUUGGGCCUAAAGCAUCCGUAGCCGGUUCUACAAGUCUUCCGUUAAAUCCACCUGCUUAACAGAUGGGCUGCGGAAGAUACUAUAGAGCUAGGAGGCGGGAGAGGCAAGCGGUACUCGAUGGGUAGGGGUAAAAUCCGUUGAUCCAUUGAAGACCACCAGUGGCGAAGGCGGCUUGCCAGAACGCGCUCGACGGUGAGGGAUGAAAGCUGGGGGAGCAAACCGGAUUAGAUACCCGGGUAGUCCCAGCUGUAAACGAUGCAGACUCGGUGAUGAGUUGGC